UUUGAGAAGCCUGGUCUAGUGGAAGGUGUUCCUGGUGUGGGGGGUUGAAAUGAGAUGGUUUGUAAGGUCCCUCUUAUCCCAACUCAUUCUGUGGUCGGUCCUAGAAGAGUAUUUCAAUACCCCCCUGUUAAUGUGACUUUCGGGCUUCCUCUCAUGAGUUGUUUCCAUCAGAUCAAGUGUUCUGUGGUUACUGCUACAAUUGCAGACCAAACACACAAAGCCAACAGGCACUCAGAGAAGAAGAAGAUGAAAUGCCAAGAUGGUAACUCUCAGAGCAAGAACCCAGGCAGCUGCAGAGAAUAAGUGCUAACACAGAAAGGGAAGGAUACACCUCUUGUUCCAGGCUCCUCAAGAUGCUGUGAGAUUCUCAG